UUUUAUUACGAUUAACUCAGUGUUGUGUGGUGGUGCAAUUUUUUAUUCAGGGGUAAAUAACCUUUCGGGGUUUUUAAGGACUACGUAGUGUCAUCGUCUUUUCAUUGGUGUUUCCUCUUCGUUUACAACAUGGCUUCUAGUAAUGAAAGCAGUACCCCAUGCCUCAUUGAUGUUUCCGAGCUCAACGCGAUUGAUUUAGAAUCAUUUUUGCUGUCUAUCAACUUCGAUUCAUGCAUAGCCGCUAAACUUACAGGGGAAUUCAAAAAUUUUACGUCUUAUCUUCGAACGAUUCAUGCAAUCCAUACUUCCGGUAAGGUUAAUGGAACCCCACUGAUGUGCACUCAGAACGGAUGUCGGGAAACUUUUCAUUCCUUUCCCAAUUUUUGAAACCAUUUAUUGCGGUGUAGUAGAACGGCUAGAACCCGUCGACGUAAAAAUACUUCACAGUGUACAGAAAAUCCCCUCUUUGAAAAUCCUGUCAGAUGUUUUUGUUACAGAUGAAACAGUCCAUGAAAUGUUGAAAUGUUAAAUGCGCUUGAUGUCGUAGCUAAAAAUAAGGAAACAGAAAACAAACUGAAAA